rnacentral:rRNA from 1 species
GGCUCUCAGAGGCGAUGAAGGACGUGAUAAGCUGCGAUAAGCCACGGGGAUCAGCACAUAUGAAUUGAUCCGUGGAUUUCCGAAUGGGACAACCCAGCAGGUUGAAGACCUGUUACUCCGUAAGGAGGGCAAACCCGGGGAACUGAAACAUCUAAGUACCCGGAGGAAGAGAAAACAAUUAGUGAUUCCGUUAGUAGGGGCGAGCGAACG